UACGAAGGUGGCAAGCGUUGUUCGGAUUUACUGGGCGUACAGGGAGCGUAGGCGGUUCGGUAAGCCCUCUGUGAAAUCUCCAGGCUUAACCUGGAACAGUCGGAGGGGACUGCCGGGCUAGAGGACGGGAGAGGAGCGCGGAAGUUCCCGGUGUAGCGGUGAAAUGACGUAGAGAUCGGGAGGAAGGCCGGUGGCGAAGGCGGCGCUCUGGAACGUUUCUGACGCUGAGGCUCGAAAGCGUGGGGGAGCAAACAGGG
rnacentral:rRNA from 1 species